GGGUGCCAGAGGCUUGCCGGGUUUCAAAGGACAGAGAGGAGAUACAGGUCUCCCAGGUCCCCGGGGAGAGCCAGGUGCAGCAGGUCCUGCUGGGCGUGAGGGGCCACCUGGGAAGGAUGGUGAUACUGGUCCCAUAGGACCACAAGGUCCUCGAGGACUCAGAGGGCAGCCGGUGA